GCUGGCUGUGGUAGUACUUUUCUAUAGUCCCAGCUACUAGGGAGGCUGAGACAGAAGGAUCACUUGAGCCUGGGAGUUUGAGGACAGCCUGGGCCAUAUGGUGAGACCCUGUCUCAA
rnacentral:sRNA from 1 species